AACGAACGCUGGCGGCAGGCUUAACACAUGCGAGUCGAACGCAUGCCUUCGGGCAUGAGUGGCAGACGGGUGAGUAACGCGGGGGAACCUACCCCUGGGUACGGGAUAGCUCCGGGAAACUGGAGAUAAUACCGUAUGUGUCCUGAGGGACAAAGAUUCAUCGCCAAGGGAUGGGCCAGCGUCGGAUUAGCUAGUUGGUGGGGUAACGGCCUACCAAGGCGACGAUCCGUAGCUGGUCUCAGAGGAUGAUCAGCCACAUUGGGACUGAGACACGGCCCAAACUCCUACGGGAGGCGGCAGUGGGGAAUAUUGGACAAUGGGCGCAAGCCUGAUCCAGCCCUGCCGCGUGAGUGAUGAAGGCCCUAGAGUUGUAAAGCUCUUUCACCGGUGACGAUAAUGACGGUAACCGGAGAAGAAGCCCCGGCUAACUUCGUG
rnacentral:rRNA from 1 species